UGGCGGCACGCUUAACACAUGCAAGUCGAACGAGAGUUGAGAAGCUUGCUUUUCUGAUCUAGUGGCGGACGGGUGAGUAACACGUGAGCAAUCUGCCUUUCAGAGGGGGAUACCGAUUGGAAACGAUCGUUAAUACCGCAUAACAUAAUUGAACCGCAUGAUUUGAUUAUCAAAGAUUUAUCGCUGAAAGAUGAGCUCGCGUCUGAUUAGCUAGUUGGUAAGGUAACGGCUUACCAAGGCGACGAUCAGUAGCCGGACUGAGAGGUUGAUCGGCCACAUUGGGACUGAGACACGGCCCAGACUCCUACGGGAGGCAGCAGUGGGGAAUAUUGCACAAUGGAGGAAACUCUGAUGCAGCGAUGCCGCGUGAGGGAAGAAGGUUUUAGGAUUGUAAACCUCUGUCUUCAGGGACGAAAAAUGACGGUACCUGAGGAGGAAGCUCCGGCUAACUACGUGCCAGCAGCCGCGGUAAUACGUAGGGAGCGAGCGUUGUCCGGAAUUACUGGGUGUAAAGGGAGCGUAGGCGGGAUCGCAAGUCAGAUGUGAAAACUAUGGGCUUAACCCAUAAACUGCAUUUGAAACUGUGGUUCUUGAGUGAAGUAGAGGUAAGCGGAAUUCCUAGUGUAGCGGUGAAAUGCGUAGAUAUUAGGAGGAACAUCAGUGGCGAAGGCGGCUUACUGGGCUUUAACUGACGCUGAGCCUCGAAAGCGUGGGAGCAAACAGGAUUAGAUACCCUGGUAGUCCACGCCGUAAACGAUGAUUACUAGGUGUGGGGGGACUGACCCCUUCCGUGCCGCAGCAAACGCAAUAAGUAAUCCACCUGGGGAGUACGACCGCAAGGUUGAAACUCAAAGGAAUUGACGGGGGCCCGCACAAGCAGUGGAGUAUGUGGAUUAAUUCGAAGCAACGCGAAGAACCUUACCAGGUCUUGACAUCGUAUGCAUAGCUCAGAGAUGAGUGAAAUCUCUUCGGAGACAUAUAGACAGGUGGUGCAUGGUUGUCGUCAGCUCGUGUCGUGAGAUGUUGGGUUAAGUCCCGCAACGAGCGCAACCCUUACUGUUAGUUGCUACGCAAGAGCACUCUAGCAGGACUGCCGUUGACAAAACGGAGGAAGGUGGGGAUGACGUCAAAUCAUCAUGCCCCUUAUGACCUGGGCCUCACACGUACUACAAUGGCUGUUAACAGAGGGAUGCAAAGCCGCGAGGUGGAGCGAACCCCUAAAAGCAGUCUUAGUUCGGAUUGUAGGCUGCAACCCGCCUACAUGAAGUCGGAAUUGCUAGUAAUCGCAGAUCAGCAUGCUGCGGUGAAUACGUUCCCGGGCCUUGUACACACCACCCG
rnacentral:rRNA from 1 species